GUGGGGAAUAUUGGACAAUGGGCGCAAGCCUGAUCCAGCCAUGCCGCGUGAGUGAUGAAGGCCCUAGGGUUGUAAAGCUCUUUCACCGGUGAAGAUAAUGACGGUAACCGGAGAAGAAGCCCCGGCUAACUUCGUGCCAGCAGCCGCGGUAAUACGAAGGGGGCUAGCGUUGUUCGGAAUUACUGGGCGUAAAGCGCACGUAGGCGGACAUUUAAGUCAGGGGUGAAAUCCCAGAGCUCAACUCUGGAACUGCCUUUGAUACUGGGUGUCUUGAGUAUGGAAGAGGUAAGUGGAAUUCCGAGUGUAGAGGUGAAAUUCGUAGAUAUUCGGAGGAACACCAGUGGCGAAGGCGGCUUACUGGUCCAUUACUGACGCUGAGGUGCGAAAGCGUGGGGAGCAAACAGGAUUAGAAACCCGAGUAGUCC
rnacentral:rRNA from 1 species